AGGGAUAAAGGUGCUCCUGCCCUGCUGCAGCCUCAGCCAGCACUGCCCAGAGCAAGAGGAAGAUUAAGGUGGCUGUUCUCAGCGUGGCCCUGCUCUUCUCCAUCUUCCUGUGCCCCUUGGCAGACGCUCAGGCUGGCAGACGAUGCUUUCUGCAUCUCACACAGGGUUGGAUUUGUGACCACGACCAUGGCUCCGGGACAGGAUUCUUUCCUCCUGGGCCCCCUGGACGUGCCCACAGAAGUUUGCUCUAUUAUCGUGGGGGAAGCCACAGCCUGGAAGAGCGAGGGAGCAGUGAGAGCCUUUCCAGUGAAGAGGUCUGAGGAUGGAGCUGGUGGUGACCCUGAGCGCUGCCCCCUGCAGCGGCACGAGGAGAUCCCAUUGCUGAAGGAACCCUGAGCCCCGUGAGCCCCGGGAAUGUCCCUGCAAAGAUCAAUAAACCCCUGAACAGAG